GUGCGAGACCGAUAGCGAACAAGUACCGUGAGGAAAAGAUGAAAAGAACUUUGAAAAGAGAGUUAAAGAGUACCUGAAACUGCUGGAAGGGAAGCGAAUCGUAUCCAGUGUCUAUAAUCUGCGGCAUAUUUCAUUGGCGGCAGUGUGCGUGCUUUUGCGUCGGAAGCGGCUUUUGUUGCUCUGUGCUUUUGCUGUGCGUGCUGUUGCUGGUGCCCUGUGUUGCGGUGGGACGUCAGAGUCAGUUCGUAUGCUGCGGGAAAUGGCCGCCGAGGAGGUAGGUCAGGACUUCGGUCUUGGCUGUUAUAUCUUGGUGGUUUGUUGUCGUGGUUGGGACUGAGGUGCCUACAAUGUGCUUUUGAGUGUGCCGGGUUCUCAUUUGGUGGACUGUUUGGAUAGCUUGCUAUGCUUGUGGUUUUUUCAUCGAGUGAUUGAGUCUGGUGGGUAACUUGUUGCUGGUUCGGGACUUUGA
rnacentral:rRNA from 2 species